rnacentral:rRNA from 1 species
UACGUAGGGUGCGAGCGUUAAUCGGAAUUACUGGGCGUAAAGCGUGCGUAGGCGGUUUUGUAAGCCAGAUGUGAAAGCCCCGGGCUCAACCUGGGAAUGGCAUUUGGGACUGCAAGGCUGGAGUUUGGCAGAGGAGACUGGAAUUCCUGGUGUAGCAGUGAAAUGCGUAGAUAUCAGGAGGAAUACCGAUGGCGAAGGCAGGUCUCUGGGCUAUAACUGACGCUCAUGCACGAAAGCGUGGGGAGCAAACAAGGAUUAGAGUACCC